UUUUUUUUUUUUUUUUUUUUUUUUUAAGGGCCGUAGGUGUGGCAUAUGGAAGAUCCCAGGUUCAGCCCUAAAAAGCAAAUAAGUAAGUAAGCAGAAUUUAAUUUUUCAAGUAUGCCUUCCAUUUGAUGAAGUGAAAUUUUAGUUCAGAAAACGCCGAUAUAACUAGUUAUUUGUUCCAAUCUAUUAAGUACAUUCACCAAAUAAUCACCUUAAAGGGCCUUCAGUAAAUGUAUUCUUGACACCAUUUUACUUUGCCAUAUACAAUCAUUUGAAUAUAUGUGAUGUAUAAAUAAAAAUAUGAAAUAAAAAGAUUACUCUCCAAGAUAGAUUGGAAGUCCCUCUAGGUCAAGGAAUGUAUUCUACAUCUGUCUUUUAAAAGCACAUAGCACAAUGCAUUGCACAAUACAGGAACUUAUGAAUUGCCUAUUAAAUCAGCAAUUCAUGAAUGACAGGCCAUAGCUAUUUAACUUCAAAUCUAAAGCUGACUUUCUUAGUCUAUUUAUUUGCUUUCUUCAUAAAGUGCACAGAGUGGGGCUAACAAUGCUUCUUGUGCCUGUGAUUGUAAACUGAAAAUUUACAAAAAAUAGAGCACAUAUAGUUUGAGCUAAAUGUCUGAACUUAUUUUACUAAAAUAAAACAGUUCUACUUUCUGAACUGUUAAAAUUAAAAGCAAAUUUAAAUUUGCACUGGAGUUCCUGCUGUGGCCCAGUGGAAACUAAUCCAACUAGUAACCAUGAGGUUGCAGGUUGGAUUCCUGGCCUAGCUCAGUGGGUUAAGGAUCCUUGGAUCCCUGGCCUAGCUCAGUGGGUUAAGGAUCUGGCAUUGCCUGAGCUGUGGUGUAGGUUGCGGACAGACCUCGGAUCCUGCACUGCUGCGGCUUAGGCCAGAGGCUGCAGCUCUGAUUCCACCCCUAACCUGGAAACCUCCAUAUGCCGCGGGCACGGCCAUGUAAAAAAAAAGGUAAAUUUGCACUUAGAAUGGAAAAGCGAUUGUAAAGAUUGGCAAAUAUCUGAAGCAAGCACAGUUCUUAUUUCCAAAGACUUGUGCCAAUAACGAUCUUUUGCUAUUUGAAAUCCUGUGACCACAGAAAUAGGAAAGGUCCAUAGCUUUGUACAUCGGGUUGGGUGAGGAAGAGACGAUUUCAACUCUGAAUAUUAAUAAUCAGAUCCAGAAAUACAAACAAAGCUAUUGGCCAAAUCAUCUAAAGAGACAUAAUUAUGUCUCACACGAAGGACCACAACUCAGAGAAUUAGAACACUGGACAUGCCGUCAGGCACCUUUAUGAGACCAGAUACAAUGGCUCAAAAUUAAGUAAUACACUGAGAUCAUCCCACCGGAUCGUCACAAGGACCCUCAGCGGUGGGAAAAGCAGACCCGCAUUUCACAGAUGAGAACGUAAGGUGUCCAAAAGGAUCGGGUACAAAGGCUACACCCAACAAAGGUUGGGUGGCUGAAAGCAGGCUUAAAUUCCCAUUUUCCAAGUAUCUAAGUAAUGGAUACUUUCCAUCUGGCCUCUGCGAUCGCCCUUUGCCGGCGUACAGGGCCGGCAAAACUGCAGGGAGGAGAGCAGAGCUGGGCAAGGACGCGAGAGAAGAGGAGAGGGAAUUUCCAUAGCUGCCCGGCACUCGCUGAUAAUCACCUCGGGUCGCUACUUGGCUCCAGCCCUUCUGCCCUCCCAGCGGCCCCAGCUUGCACCCCAAACUUGUCUCAGGGGAGGGCGGGAACCGGGGAGCCUUUCUCCACAGUACGGAGAGUUCCCCAA
ensembl:lncRNA